GACGAACGCUGGCGGCGUGCUUAACACAUGCAAGUCGAACGGAAAGGCCCUGCUUUUGUGGGGUUCUCGAGUGGCGAACGGGUGAGUAACACGUGAGUAACCUGCCCUUGACUUUGGGAUAACUUCAGGAAACUGGGGCUAAUACCGGAUAGGAUCUCCUGCUGCAUUGUGGGGGUUGGAAAGUUUCGGCGGGUGGGGAUGGACGCGCGGCUUAUCAGCUUGUUGGUGGGGUAGUGGCUUACCAAGGCUUUGACGGGUGGCCGGCCUGAGAGGGUGACCGGCCACAUUGGGACUGCGAUACGGCCCAGACUGCAACGGGAGGCAGCAGUGGGGAAUAUUGCACAAUGGGAGGAAGCCUGAUGCAGCAACGCCGCGUGCGGGAUGACGGCCUUCGGGUUGUAAACAGCUUUAGCCUGUGACGAAGCGUGAGUGACGGUAAUGGGUAAAGAAGCACCGGCUAACUACGUG
rnacentral:rRNA from 1 species